ensembl:lncRNA
CAGAAAGAGAAGAGAAAGUUGUAAAGUUUGGCAAGGCAGAACGUUGUUUGAGUAGGGGUUAUGUUUUUGCCUACUGGGAAGAAUAGAUUUUAUGCCCAACAGGAGAACUACAGAAGGAGGUUACACACAAGAUUUGGCCAGGAGACUGGGUCUGGGUCCAAUCACUAAAGAUAACGGACUGGAAGCAGCCACGGUGGGAGGGGCCAUACCAAGUGCUCCUGGUGACAGCCUUCGCGGUGAGAAUAGUUGAAAGAGCUACCUGGGUUCAUAUCACACAUUGCAAGAGGGUAAGACACAUUGGCACUGUCGAACAAUCACAGAGUUAGGAGAAGAACCGAAUACCAAUAAGGUUCAAGGGUUAUCUCUCUAACGAAAAUUCCCUAACCCUCCCUAUCCUCCCUGUGUGCGUUCAUAGAAGUGAAAGUAUGGGCUGGCCUCUAGCUGAUGAUAUGUUCUCCGGGAAGGGGUGGGGCUUUACAGGAGUGCUGGUCGUUCUGAGCUGUCUGAUUGUGGGAGCCAUAUUCCUAAUACACCAUAACCCACCCGAGAAGGCAGAAGGUAUUAAGUUGACCCAUAGUAUAGAUGAUGAGGAUUUUAUUUUACCAAAGUACAAAAGGUCACUUAAUUAAUAACCUCUCUAGGGUAUGUGGGAGGCUAGCGUCAUUACAAACAGUAACCAGCCAACUAGAAGAGUUACACAAGUCAGAAAUAGAGAUCAAAUUAAUCUCUUACCUUUGAUGAUCUUCAUAUGUUUGCACUCAGAAGACAUUCCUUUAUUCAAUAAAUGUUCCUUUGUUCAAUAAAGUCUCUCUUUAUAUCCGAAAACCUCCGUUUUGUUCGCGCGUUUUCUUCAGUAAUCCACAGGCUCAAAAGCAGUCACAACAGGCAGACAAAAAAAUCAAAAUUGUAUCCGUAAAGUUCAUAGAAACAUGUCAAACGAUGUUUAAAUUAAAUCCUCAGGUUGUUUUUAGCCUAAAUGAUCUAUAAUAUUUCAACCAGACAAUAACGUCGUCAAUAUAAAAGGUAAACAAGAAAUAAAA